GCCGGCUUAGCUCAGGUGGUAGAGCGGCUGAUUUGUAAUCAGUAGGUCGGGGGUUCGAGUCCUCCAGCCGGCACCA
rnacentral:tRNA from 2 species